rnacentral:misc_RNA from 1 species
GGAAGGAUCAUCAACAAAUCUAAUACUGCCUUUGGGCAAUAUACCAAUGUGAAUUGACUAGCUUGCUAGUUUGAUGAAUGCUUGAAAAAGCAUCAUAUUAACGAGUAUUAAAGAGUCUGUUUAAAAAAAUAUAAUCUUAUACAACUUUUAACAAUGGAUCUCUUGGCUCUUGCAACGAUGAAGAACGCAGUGAAUUGCGAUAAGUAAUGUGAAUUGCAUCACCUGUGAAUCAUCAAAUCUUUGAACGCAUUUUGCGCUUUUCGGGUCUACUGAAAAGCAUACCUGUUUGAGUAUCAGAAAGCACUCCUCACAAACUGCAAGGUUUGAAAGGGAAUUGAGGUCUAGCCGAGAGGUUAUUCCUUGAAAGAGAUUAAUGAAGUCGGGUAUUGUCCUUGACGUAUAAAGUGCGGUAAGAAAAUAGUUAUUUUCUCCCACUGACACUACGGCGAGACGUGCCUGGCAGUACUCAUUACUAUUAUUUUUGAACUCUUGAUCUCAAAUCAGGUAGGAUCACCCGCUGAACUUAAGCAUAUCAGUAAGCGGAGGAAAAGAAACUAACAAGGAUUCCCUCAGUAACGGCGAGUGAAGUGGGAAGAGCUCAAGUUUUAAAUCUGGGAGGUCACCUCUCCGAAUUGUAAACUAUAGAAGCGUUUUCUGCGGUAACAGUGGUAAAAGUUCCCUGGAAAGGGACAUCAGAGAGGGUGAGAAUCCCGUAUUUGACCAUUGUUUUCAACUGCUCUAUGAUACGUUCUCUACGAGUCGAGUUGUUUGGGAAUGCAGCUCAAAAUGGGUGGUAAAUUUCAUCUAAAGCUAAAUAAUGGCAAGAGACCGAUAGCGAACAAGUACCGUGAGGGAAAGAUGAAAAGAACUUUGAAAAGAGAGUUAAAUAGUACGUGAAAUUGUUAAAAGGGAAACGAUUAAAACCAGUAUUUUUGGCAGGAACUCAGUCCAGCUUGUUUUUUUCUAAAGGCAAGUUGGGUGUACUUUUCUGUUAAAAAGUCAACAUCAGUUUAUGUGCUGGAUAAGGCUUUGAGGAAGGUGACCUUAGCGAUAAGGUUUUAUAGACUCUUUGCUAAACAGUGUGUCGAGACUGAGGACUGCAGCGUAGCGCAAGCAUUUCCUGCGAGAAUCUAUUUCUGUUGGCCACCUUUAGACAAUAAAUUGGCUAGAGGAGGGUUGGUGGCGAUAUGUUUUUCAAAGUUACAUACGCUUAGGAUGUUGACGAAAUGGUUUUAAACGACCCGUCUUGAAACACGGACCAAGGAGUCUAACAUAUAUGCGAGUAUUAGAGUGGCAAACUCUGAUGCGCAAUGAAAGUGAAUGGAUGGGAGUCGCAAGAUGCACCAUCAACCGACCUUGAAGUUUUUUAAUGGAUAGGUUUGAGUAAGAGCAUAUCUGUUGGGACCCGAAAGAUGGUGAACUAUGCCUGAAUAGGGUGAAGCCAGAGGAAACUCUGGUGGAGGCUCGUAGCGGUUCUGACGUGCAAAUCGAUCGUCAAAUUUGGGUAUAGGGGCGAAAGACUAAUCGAACCAUCUAGUAGCUGGUUCCCUC